rnacentral:rRNA from 1 species
UGGGUCCGACCUGCCCAGUGAACUUUUUAACGGCCGCAGUACCCUGACUGUGCAAAGGUAGCAUAAUAAUUUGUCUUAUAAUUGAAGACUAGAAUGAACGGUUAAAUGUAAAUAAAACUGUCUCUUAUGCAAAAUUAAAAAUUAAUUUGUUGGUUCAAAAGCCAACAUUUAAUAAAUAGACGAGAAGACCCUAUUGAGCUUAAUUUUUAUUUAUAUUUAAUUAAUUUAUUUAUAAUAAUAAAAUUUUGUUGGGGCGACAAAGGAAUUCACUCAACUUCCUUUAAAAUUUUAAUGUUAAAAUUAAAUUGAUCCGUUCAUUACGAUAAAAUAACAAGUUACCAUAGGGAUAACAGCGUAAUUCUUUUUAAGAGCCCAAAUCGAAAAAAGAGUUUGUGACCUCGAUGUUGGACUAAGGUAACUAUAAAACGCAACCGUUUUUUAAAAUAGUCUGUUCGACUAAUAA